ACUCCUACGGGAGGCAGCAGUGGGGAAUAUUGCACAAUGGGCGCAAGCCUGAUGCAGCCAUGCCGCGUGUAUGAAGAAGGCCUUCGGGUUGUAAAGUACUUUCAGUCAGUGAGGAGGUGGUAUGUUAAUAGCGAUACUUCAUUUGACUGUUAGCAUGACAAGAAGAAGCCGAACCGGCCUAACUCCCGUGCCAGCAGCCGCGGUAAUACGGAGGGUGCGAGCGUUAAUCGGAAUUACUGGGCGUAAAGCGCAUGCAGGUGGUUUGUUAAGUCAGAUGUGAAAGCCCGGGGCUCAACCUCGGAAUUGCAUUUG
rnacentral:rRNA from 1 species